UAUGGCCAUAUCACACUGAAAGACCUAUUCUCGUAUGAUCACCGAUGUUAAGCAACAUCGAGCUUGGUUAGUACUUAGAUAGGUGACUGUUUGGGAAU